rnacentral:rRNA from 1 species
GACGAACGCUGGCGGCGUGCUUAACACAUGCAAGUCGAACGGAAAGGCCCUUCGGGGUACUCGAGUGGCGAACGGGUGAGUAACACGUGGGUGAUCUGCCCUGCACUUUGGGAUAAGCCUGGGAAACUGGGUCUAAUACCGAAUAGGACCACGCGCUUCAUGGUGUGUGGUGGAAAGCUUUUGCGGUGUGGGAUGGGCCCGCGGCCUAUCAGCUUGUUGGUGGGGUAAUGGCCUACCAAGGCGACGACGGGUAGCCGGCCUGAGAGGGUGACCGGCCACACUGGGACUGAGAGACGGCCCAGACUCCUACGGGAGGCAGCAGUGGGGAAUAUUGCACAAUGGGCGCAAGCCUGAUGCAGCGACGCCGCGUGAGGGAUGACGGCCUUCGGGUUGUAAACCUCUUUCAAUAGGGACGAAGCGCAAGUGACGGUACCUAUAGAAGAAGCACCGGCCAACUACGUG